GUGGGGAUAGCUCAGUUGGGAGAGCGUCAGACUGAAGAUCUGAAGGUCGCGUGUUCAAUCCAUGUUCACCGCA
rfam:Picea glauca, whole genome shotgun sequence.